CCAUAUACAUUUUUUCGUCGCUUCGAAUUCAGUUCUUACUGAAUAGUCGACCUUAUGGACAAUCCCCCGUGUGCAGUCCAUAAAAUGAUUUGUGUAUAGCAUAAAAAAGCACGCAUAUAAAAUGGCAACAGCUAUUUAAGCCAAGGCAAUGCAGCUGGUGGACCAACUGGUGGCGAUGUUGGGCCAGGAAAGGUGACCGGAUCGGGAAGUCGGGAAGCCGGCGCAGGCGGUGCAGGUAUGCGCUUUUCCGGCCAAGCACUUAAUUGAUGUUGUGUCGCGUAAAUUAUAAACAAAACAAAAAUUAAAGUGGACUCCACGCUGAGGCCGCUUGGCCAGAGCUUGAGCCUCAGCUCGGAGCUCGGAGCUGGCAUCGCUUCGCGUGGCUCGACUCGGCUCGGAAACGCUGGCGGAUGCGGAAAUGCUUUCAUCGCAAGUGGUGUCGUCGCUCAUAAAAAGCGCACACCCACCCACACACCCACCCACACACACACACUCGGAUAUGGCCGUGGUCAAGGGGCUAAGCAGGCUGCCGCUGCGCGUCUGUGAGUGAGGUCAAGCGUGAAAGUGCCGCUCCUUGUAGCCGGAUGUACUCCUGACCUGCCUGCUCUCCUCUCCCCACCCCACCACCCUCCUUUUACACACCACUCUUCAGCUGCGGUUCGCGCAUAAAUUUAGCUUUUUGCAUCGCAAAGUGUCCUCCAAAUGGUCAUCUAUGCACGCAUGGGUUGGACGUGGGAUGUGUCCAUGUGUGCGGAAUUUUCUUCUAAUAUGAUUUUUUAUAGCCGCCCUAUGCGACAAAACCCUUUUAUAACUGCGCCUGUCCUGUGUUAUUAUUUAGCUAAACUGAUCUGUCAAACAUUUUAAUUAUGUAUUUUAUAAUUUUA